AUAUCACUAAGCGGAGGAGAAGAAAUUAACUAAGAUUGCCCCAGUAACGGCGAGUGAAGCGGCAAAAGCCCAAAAUGGUAAUCUUCGUGUUUCACACGACGAAUUGUAAUCUAUAGUCUGGAAUCUCACCUGACGGUUGCGCAGAAGUGACUUAGAACGGUCCGCCAGAGAGGGUGACAGCCCCGUACGUGGUGCAACUGUCUAACGAGAUCUAGAUAAAGAGUCGGGUUGUUUUGAAUUGCAGCCCUAAUCUAGGGGAUAGACUUCCUCUAAGGCUAAAUAUUUAUGGGAGACCGAUAGCGCACAAGUA
rnacentral:rRNA from 1 species